UGAGUCGGCCGGGUGGCCGCGGCGUGGCUUGACCACGUCGAGGAAAGUCGGGACUCCACAGGGCAGAGUGCUGGCGCGAGCCAGGUUGGGGCGACCUGACGGACAGUGCAACAGAGAGAAACCGCCGAUGGGCCGGCUUGCCGGUCACAGGUAAGGGUGCAACGGUGCGGUAAGAGCGCACCAGCGUGCGGGGCGACCUUCACGGCUCGGCAAACCCCAUUCGGAGCAAGGUCAAGCAGAGAGUAUGGGCGGCCCGUCCGUCGGCCUUCGGGUCGGCAGCUCUCGGGUAGACCGCAUAGAUGGAUGGUCACCACCGCCGCAAGGCGUGACAGGAUCCCGCUUACAGGCCGACUCACCAC
rnacentral:RNase_P_RNA from 1 species